GACUCUGGUUGCAAACAAUACUGUGCGAAGGAGCUAGGCCAAGAGCAAACCCAUCAGCAUUAAAGACUUUGUAUGAGAAAGACAGGGAGGGGGAUUAAGAUGAUGAAUACGAAGCGAGACUAGCUUGCAGCUCCCACUCAGAUGGACGGAGCAGUAUGGAGACUCACAUCGUGAACUUUUGCUCCAAGAACUACCACAGAAACAUACCAGGAAAGCCAAGAGAAUCCACAGACCCUUUGAAGAACUGGAUCACCCCUGCAAGCUCCCUGAGAUGCCAAAAAACUGUGAGUCUGCUUGCUUUCUCAAUGGGGAGGCUCAUGGUCUAGGGCAAGUUCUCGGCCCUGGUCACCAGCUGCCUGGAAAUAGACUCGAUGCUGUUGUUGGGGAGCACAGUGGGAGUGAGACCAGCCGUUAGGACUGUGGGUUGCUUGGGAGUGGGGUGAGGCUUUUGAGUACUGGCUUUUCCCCCACUUCCCUGGUGACCUGUAUGACUCAGCAGAGGCAGCCAUAAUACCCCUGGGAGUAUAACUCCGCUGGACAGGGAAUCACACCCAUCCCCCACCACAGCCACAGCAAGCCCCAUCCAAGGAGAGGCUGAGCUCAGAUACGCAUAUCCCUGCCCCCACCUGGUGAUUUUUCUCUACUUGCCCUGGUAGCCAAAGACAAAGGCUAUAAUUUCUUGGGAGCCCUAUGCCUCUGCCCACUACCUGAGAAACUUGAAUACAUAACCAAGUGUCUAUAGGGCAAGUUUUCAUCCUCUUUAUUGGACUUCAGCUGAUGCACUCUUGAAAGCUCCACCUUCUGGCUGGAGGCCAACAAACACAGAACCAGGGCACUAAACAAAAACACAACCAAGAACUCUCACAGGGUCCACUUCACUCCCCUGCUACCUCCACCAGAGCAGGUGCUGGUAUCCAUGGCUACAAGACCUGAAGACAGAUCACAUCACAGGACUCUGUGCAGGCACUCACCACUACCAGCCCAGAACCCUUAGCUCUGCUGGGUGGCUAGACCCAGAAGAGCAAAAACAAUCACUACAGUUCAAUUCUCAGGAAGCCCCUUUCCUAGAGGAAGGGAGAGAACACCACAUCAAGAAAGGACCCAAGAAAGAUAGACCAUAUGAUAGACUACAAAAAAGUCUCAGUAAAUUUAAGAAAAUCAAAAUUAUAUCAAGUACUUUCUCAGACCACAGUGGAAUAAAACUGGAAAUCAACUCCAGAAGAACCCCUCACAACCAAGCAGAUACAUGGAAAUUAAAUAACCUGCUCCUGAAUGAUUGCUGGGUUAACAAUGAAAUCAAGAUGGAAAUUUAAAAAUUCUUUGAACUGAACAAUAAUAGUGACACAACCUAUGAAAACCUCUGAGAUAACAGCAAAAGCAGUGCUAAGAGGAAAGUUCAUAGCAUUAAAUGCCUAUAUCAAAACGUCUGAAAGAGCACAAAUAGACAAUCUAAGGUCACACCUCACAAAACUAGAGAAACAAGAACAAUCCAAACCCAAACCCAGCAGAAGAAAAGAAAUAA
ensembl:lncRNA novel transcript